GACGAACCGUGCGAACGUUAUUCGGAAUCAUUGGGCUUAAAGGGCGCGUAGGCGGCGAUAUAAGUUGGAAGUGAAAUCCCAUCGGCUCAACCGUGGAAUUGCUCCCAGUACUGUAUCGCUCGAGGGGGAUAGGGGUCUGCGGAACUACCGGUGGAGCGGUGAAAUGUGUUGAUAUCGGUGGGAACGCCAGUGGCGAAAGCGGCAGACUGGACCCUUCCUGACGCUGAUGCGCGAAAGCUAGGGGAGCAAACGGG
rnacentral:rRNA from 1 species